AUUAUAUCUUACAUGUGGUGCAACAAUGCUUGGCACUUUCUAGGAUUUUACAGUGGAUAAUUGCAAGAAAAUUCCACAAGAAAAGAAAAGAAAAAAACAAGAAUAAAAUCCUUGACAAAAAUGUGGGAUCAAGGGAAAAAAUUAUCCUCUUCAUUAACCUAAUGAUAAAUGACUUUAGUAGUUUUUUUUUUUUUUUUUUUUUUUUUUUUAUUUCUUGUAUGUACAGCAGCAUUUUUCUCUUUAUCUGGAGUCUGGACCUUCAAUCUGGGAGCAAAGAAUGGUAAUUAGAGCUCUGUUUUCAUGUGGGAGACUUGAUUUGAACCAGUAAAGUUGCGUGCCUGCAAUGUCGUUUCCUGGUUAAGAUUCUGGCUAAAACCCAUCUGAACAAUGGUUUGGAGAUCAUCCUCACAGAAUGUUGGAUACUGAGGGCCAUUAUGGUUAAAUCCUUCAAGUGGGGCUAACUGCAUAUUGAGGCUUUGGCAUAGUCCUGUAUCUAAUGGGUCCACAGAGGAGCAUUGGGUCACUGUCCCAUUAGAAAUGUUGCGAUGCAGUGCUGGAUUUUGCUGGGGUUGGUGGCCAAAAAUGGCUGACGCCGAGGAAUCUAAUGGGAAUAUUGGAUG
rnacentral:misc_RNA from 1 species